AUUGUAAUGACCACGGAAGAGGCAGUGACUGAAGUAUUGAUUAGACAGCGAUUUAUUAGAAACCUAAUAAACCGUUGGAACACGCAAGACCGGUAACCAUAGCAACGCCAGUAAACAAACCUCGCAAAACCCAAUCCAGGGCUGAAUCCGAAUACUCAUACUUAUAGUAUGCAUUUUGUAGUACGCCACAAAUAUAGCGCGUCCGAAUGCUCAGUACGCAUUGUGUAGUACGGAAAACGUUAAAGAAUGCGUACUACCGCCACAGUAUACAACGGUAGGUCAUUACGCUAUCCCACAAUGCAACCGGAGUCUGGUAACGAACGAAGAAGAGAUGGCUGACCCGACACUACCAACAGCGGCUAGACGUCGUAGAAAGCGGCGAAAAAAAGAGACAUUAAAAAAGUAAACCCAACUGUCUACUACGGGAGAGCGACUGGUUUGCCGUAUUCAAUACUACGUUACAUUUCAAGCAGAUAUGUCCUCCGUUGCCCAAGAAGAUGCUAGAACACAUGAACCUGGACUGGAGCAUACUCACCAAAUAAAAAAAUUACAUUAAUUAAAUAAUAAUAUAAGCAAAUCAUUUUUAGAUGACUGGUGAAUAAAUAAAACAGAAUAUAAUGCACUGUACACACAUGUCUGGACAUUGCUCUUUUUUUUAUUAAGGUGAGAUAAGGUAACAUAUACCUUAUCAUUACAUACUAUAUACAUUAUAUCCUAAGGUAACCUAUAUUUUAUCAUUACAUACUAUUUACAUUAUAUCCUAAGGUAACCUAUAUCUUAUCAUUACAUACUAUUUACAUUAUAUCCUAAGGUAACCUAUAUCUUAUCAUUACAUACUAUAUACAUACAAACUCAUGCAAAAUAGUCCCGAAUGUGUGGAGGAUCCAAUUUAAAAAAAUGUGAUGUUUGAUUACCAUACAGGCAAGUGAGUGCAUUUCGUAACAAAGCAGAUACAAUGUACAGUUUACCUACACUACU